rnacentral:rRNA from 1 species
UACGUAGGGGGCAAGUGUUAUCCGGAUUUACUGGGUGUAAAGGGAGCGUAGACGGCAGCGCAAGUCUGAAGUGAAAGCCCGGGGCUCAACCCCGGAAUGGCUUUGGAAACUGUGCAGCUAGAGUACCGGAGGGGUAAGCGGAAUUCCUAGUGUAGCGGUGAAAUGCGUAGAUAUUAGGAGGAACACCAGUGGCGAAGGCGGCUUACUGGACGGUAACUGACGUUGAGGCUCGAAAGCGUGGGGAGCAAACAGG